rnacentral:rRNA from 1 species
GUAGGGAAUUUUCGGCAAUGGGGGGAACCCUGACCGAGCAACGCCGCGUGAAGGAAGAAGGUUUUCGGAUUGUAAACUUCUGUCAUAGAGGAAGAACGAUAUAUAUAGGGAAUGAUAUAUAAGUGACGGUACUCUAUAAGAAAGCCACGGCUAACUACGUGCCAGCAGCCGCGGUAAUACGUAGGUGGCGAGCGUUAUCCGGAAUUAUUGGGCGUAAAGAGGGAGCAGGCGGCAACAAGGGUCUGUGGUGAAAGACCGAAGCUUAACUUCGGUAAGCCAUGGAAACCGUGGAGCUAGAGUGCGUGAGAGGAUCGUGGAAUUCCAUGUGUAGCGGUGAAAUGCGUAGAUAUAUGGAGGAACACCAGUGGCGAAGGCGACGGUCUGGCGCGCAACUGACGCUCAGUCCCGAAAGCGUGGGGAGCAAAUAGGAUUAGAAACCCUGGUAGUCC